CGUAAUAGCUCACUGGUCGAGUCGGCCUGCGCGGAAGAUGUAACGGGGCUAAACCAUGCACCGAAGCUGCGGCAGCGACACUGUGUGUUGUUGGGUAGGGGAGCGUUCUGUAAGCCUGCGAAGGUGUGCUGUGAGGCAUGCUGGAGGUAUCAGAAGUGCGAAUGCUGACAUAAGUAACGAUAAAGCGGGUGAAAAGCCCGCUCGCCGGAAGACCAAGGGUUCCUGUCCAACGUUAAUCGGGGCAGG
rnacentral:rRNA from 1 species